rnacentral:lncRNA from 1 species
UAUUUUUAAUGAAGAAAGUGGAUACAAGCAUUAUGGUAAGUGCUUUAGUUGGUCUCUCUCUAAUUCUUGACCUUUUUUCUGCUAUGGAAUCAGAAUAAACUGGUGCUGAAACGAGGUCCGUCCCAACGCUCACGAUGAACACAGCCACUGGCGGAAUUAUUAAUAAACCGCAAAUACCUCCCCUGUAACCGUAGCAACUCCUGUAACUUCCAGUGUUCUUCCUCCAACGACAACUCCACAACAAACACCUGCUGCACCAGCUGUGAAGAAAGCAGUAUCUGUGAUCGCAAGUCGGCAAGAUCAGCCAGAUGUUAAACCGGUCGUUGUUGAGCCCCCAACUGUCCCUCAAUUUACUCCAGCGGUAGUGAAAGUGGAAGCAGAAUCCACUGGAUUGGCACCAAGUAAAACAGAAGUCAAACCUCCAGUACUGCAACACAAUACUGCACCUGUAGUUCCAAAUAUCACCUCAACAGAGCCUCCAGUUCCCAUUCCCAGCGUGGGCAGUCCCGAAAACGGAGGUUGAGUCGCCCUCCACAACUCAGUCAUGCCCCAUCCCUCCCUUGCAAAUGCCUCAACCAUCAAAUGGUAGCAUUAGCAAUCCAAUCAAUUUGUUAGUGCAGCCGCCUAAAGAAGAAAAACCGUCCUUUGCUGAAGCUCCCACAAGCACAUCAAAUUCCUUGCCAGAACCUGCGAAACAAAAUAGUGUGAGCUACAAUAACAAUAAUACACCUUCCUACAGACCAAAGCUUCCAGAACAAAACUUAAAAAAUGCCAGCUCAUGGUCGUCUUUAGCCCAAUCCUCACCAUCAAUGCUGGUACCCCCUACCCCUCCUCCCUCAGCUGCUCUAAAGUCAGCGGUAGCGGAUAGUUUCCAGGCAUUCAGGGAACAAGCCAAGGAACGUGCCAAAAAAGGAGAGAGCCUUAAUCGAACAACAAGAGCUACGAAGAGCCCAAAAGGAGCAAGCAGAAAAGGAAAGAUUACUUUUUAGAAAAUGAAAACGUAAGGAGAGGGAAGAAGAAGAAGCUUUAGAAAGAGCAAGGUAUGUGUAUCUCACCCAAAGUUCUGUCAGAAAUUUUCUCCCGACAGUUGUCCAUUCCUUU